GUGUCAGCCGCCGCGGUAAUACGAAGGGGGCUAGCGUUGUUCGGAAUCACUGGGCGUAAAGGGCGCGUAGGCGGCUUUUCAAGUCGGGGGUGAAAGCCUGUGGCUCAACCACAGAAUUGCCUUCGAUACUGUUAGGCUUGAGACCGGAAGAGGUGAGUGGAACUGCGAGUGUAGAGGUGAAAUUCGUAGAUAUUCGCAAGAACACCAGUGGCGAAGGCGGCUCACUGGUCCGGUUCUGACGCUGAGGCGCGAAAGCGUGGGGAGCAAACAGGAUUAGAAACCCCCGUAGUCC
rnacentral:rRNA from 1 species